rnacentral:rRNA from 1 species
UACGUAGGGGGCAAGCGUUAUCCGGAUUUACUGGGUGUAAAGGGUGCGCAGGCGGCGUGUCAAGCAAGCGGUAAAAUUGCGGUGCUCAACGCCGUAGAGCCGUUGAAACUGGGUGCCUUGAGUGGGCGAGAAGUACGCGGAAUGCGUGGUGUAGCGGUGAAAUGCAUAGAUAUCACGCAGAACUCCGAUUGCGAAGGCAGCGUACCGGCGCCCAACUGACGCUGAAGCACGAAGGCGUGGGUAUCGAACAGG